UAUCCAUGUUAAUUAGAUGCAUAUCCAGAGCAUAUGCUCUGAAAGAACUCACUCUGGAGCUCACUCCAUCGCAGUCAAUAGGAUUGCAUCUGAAAAUAGCAACAACUGAAACAUAUUAUGAAAAUAAAACAAAUAUUUUCUAUUUCUUUCUUUUUUCUUUUUUUUUUUUUUACCAUGCCAAUAAAUCUACUUGAUUUGCUAUGAGAAGAGACAUGACUUGACCACAGACCACGUCUCUGUUCAUGCACAAGAGCCAAUGCAGAUCGACUCCAAUCAUCUCACUCUUGAUGAGUGUCAGCGGAGGAUUACGAACCUUGUUGUGGGGGAGAAGGACACAUUAUAACCAACUGUCUAGUCCGACCACCAUGCCCAGCACACAAGGCUUGCGGUCGUGUAUAGACUACCGGACCUUAAACUCACAAACAGUUAAGUUCAGCUACCCCCUUCCUAGAACUAGAUGAACGAGGUAUUCCGUGACUUCCUCAACCAGUUCGUCAUCAUCUACAUAGACAACAUCCUCUUUUAUUCCCGAACUCUGACUGAGCAUCGUCAAUAUGUGGAGCAGGUCCUUCAGUGUCUUCGUAAAAAAUAGGUUAAUUCAAACUCUCUUCAAACAAACUG